AACACGGCUCUAUAAUAUAAGGAAUUUUAUUAGAUUUUUUACAGCGAUUAAACACAUUUUUAUUUACAUCGAUAAAAAGGUUCACCUUAUUUAUAUUUUUGACAGAAGGUUCACCUUAUUUUUAAUAUAAUACAACCGUUAACUUGAAGUGAUCACUUUCUAUAACAUGCCCUAUCUAGAGAAAUAGGAGGAUCAUUGAAAACUCCAGUAAGGAUUUGAGAAAAGACAAUCUCGUUAGCUGCUUCUGUGUAAUGAACACCAUCCCAUAUGAUUCUAGUUGAUGGAUUUUUGCAUGAACCUGCAACAAUUUUUGUACCAUUUAUGUUUAUGGAUGCUCCACAACCAACACCAAUGUUAUACUCUCCUCCAUAGCCACAACAUGCCACAAAUGGAAGCUCGAAUCCUACAUAUUAAUGAUGUCGUGUCAAAAUCACUGUCAAUCAAAACAAACACUAAAUUAAAAAUGAUGUCGUGUUGAUUUGGCUCACCAUAUUUUUCUGGGUUUGUAAAAAGAGAGUACUUAGGAGUGUAGAUAUCAACAUAUGUGAUUGCAGCAGAAGAAAGAUUGCUACGAAGUUCAGCUAGGGCUUCCUUCAACUUAAAAUUAAAAUAUUGAGAUACUUCAUUGUAUUGCUUUGCACAGCCAUAACUAUCCUUUAUUGCAGAUGGAAAAUUUGCCAAAAUUACAGGAGCACAACCCUUUGGUCCUGUGCCGUGUAUCCAAAAUGAUCUUGCACCUAAAUUAUAUAUGUUCUAAAUGACCAGCAAAUUUCAUUUCAUCAGUUUAGAAAAAGAAAUUGAGAAAUCAACAUAUUAUAAACAUAGGAUAAGAUAAUGAAAUUAGUAUCAUGAGAAAUUAAGGGUGUUCAACUACCUUGAUAUUCUCUAUGUAAUUGUUUACUAUAUCUGGUACAGUAGCAUUUACUUGUUGUAUAGUCUUGUUACCAAAAAAGCCAAUAGUAAGAUCAUUUUGACCAAUAUCAAAUAUGUAUAAGGCUUUGGAGAAAUAAUCUUCUUUGGGUAUCAACGUUGCAAAAACACCUCCUACAAAGAAAAUUUUGAAAUGAAGAAAGAAAAAAGAGGCAAAUGUAUAUCCUUAUUUAAACUUAGAACCACCAAAAGAUAUCAUAAAAAAAUGGAAAACAUAUUUUAAUUUACCUUGAUCUCUAAUGAGUUUUGUUUUCGAUAUGAACUCUUUGAAUUGAAUGUAUUGAAUUUGAAGAGAAAAUGGACUGAGUUUUCCAUUAGGUAGAAUACUUUUAGGGAUAUUGAUUGUUGAUCCUCCUGAUGCGAAGUUUGCACCAUGUGUGAAGUUAGACCCAAGAGAAUUAAGAUAUGGACUUAGAUAGGGAAGUCGAAAGCUCCGUGCUGAAAUAACAAAAUUAUAAUAUUAAAUUGAAUUUUCGUUUUAAAAUAUAUAAUUCUUGACUGAUAUAAAACCCUAUGAGCUACAAUAAGCUAUGUGUGAUGUGUUGAAAUUUGUUAUCCGUUUGUAUUCUUUGGAAGUUUGGAUCUUCUAAGUACUUGAGUUGAGAGGUCUACUUGGACAAUUUGUUUUAAUACAUCCUUUUGGACAAUUUGUUUUAAUACAUGAGUCGGAGUAUGAACCCCAAACGCUACACUUAUUAACCUUUUAACAUAGGUGAUUUUUUUUUUUUUUUUUGUGUGGCUUUCGAAUUGGUUUCCGACCCACCAGUGGUGGACGACUAAUCCGGCUCAUGCGUAGAGGUAUGCACACUGGCCAAACGUUGUUCCUCCUGGGUGUAGGUGAAUUCUAGCCACUAGCGAUUAAAAAAUGUUUAUAUACAAUAUUUAUUUGAAUCGAAAUUGCCAAGAAAGUGAUUAACAAAAAUAAAGCCUUAAAUAUGCUAAUAGAGAAUAAAAUAAGAGAAAAAAUGGCCAGUAUUACCUAUGAAAUCAAGAAUGAUUCGGCCAUCAGAAAAUCUUCCAGUUGAUCUAUGAAAAUAAGUCUCUCCAUAUGGAGAAGGUGGUGCUCGAAAGGCAGCAGCCAAACCACCAGUGUCAACGUUUGAAGCACCAAAGCUAAAUAUGGCAGGAAAAUCACAAUUCUUUGUAGCAAAUAUUGGGGGUGUAAUACAUAAAACAAGCACAAUCAAAGUCACAAGUGGGAUGUGCCUAGAGAGCUCAAUUUUUGCCAUGAAUUUCAUGAAGCAAUAAAGGAACCUAUGGACUUAUAUUAUAUGAUGAUCAUACUAUGUUUAUCAAGAACUUGAAUUUAUAGCCAAAUAUGAUUAUUAUUUAAUACUAAACUUGAUAGGGAAAUCAAAAUAAUAUCAUGUAUGAAUUCAAAGAUUAUGCUUUUUUGGUGUUUGAAUGGGUAUCGUGUGUAAUUAUUAUUCUUUUGUUUAGUGAGGUUUAGUUUAUCGUGGAUUCCACGGACUUUACUUACUAACUACGUUCCUUUUUAAUUGUCAUUUUGUGAUAUUUUACACAAAUCAAGACAAUCAAUAAAUAUUACUACUUUUGAUGCAAUAAUUGAUACUUGUACUAUAAUAGCCUUAUUCAUUUAAUAUCUCAUUUCAUAUAUUUCUCUCCGCAAUAAAUAACUAAGGGUAAUAUCGAUAAAAUAACAUUUAAAGUUGCAUUGAACUUUGAAAGUGACAGUUAAAUUAGAACAAAAAAUUUCUCCAAAAGUGACACUUUAAAAUGAAUGGAGGGAGUAGUAGAAAAAAAUAACUGGAGGUCAAACAAGUUACCAAUCAAAUGCAUCCUAACAAAUCACCGUGGUAGAUUGUAUGACAUUUUUUUCAUAAUUUUUUGGACUCAUGUUGUGGCUAUGACGUGUUUGGCUAGAGCAUGACAUCCUUUAGUGAUACAAACACAGUGCUGCUAGUGCUACCCAGGGUGAGAAUCAACAAACGAUGAAGAACAUGUCACCUGUAUUUCUGUGUGCAAGAGAAAUGCUAGGAGCGUAAAUCUAUGUAACUCACCACUUUAUGUGUGAAUCAUUUCUAAAGUGUGGGAACUACAAGGGUUUGAUCCAAUAAGAAUAUAUGUGUUGAAGAGUGUUAGAAAGAGAGUAUAUGUAACACUUCUUUUUGUGUAAUGUUGUUUACCAAUUGGUUUCCAUUGAGGGUCGAUCCAUUCUUGAUACUCCAUCUAGUCUCAUUUUUAAGUAAAAUUUUACUUUUUAGAUUCAUUGAAUAGUUGAUGUAUUUUGUCUAUACUCUAUAUUAUAAACCAAAUAUAUUAGUUAUUCUUUCAAUCUUAAAAAUAAUUGUUUUUUCUUAUAAUUGAGAUUUGAGAGAGGAGUACGAUUGUUGACUUUGAAAAUGUUUUAUAUGAAAAGUAGGAAUGGGCAUGGUUCACAUUUUGAAGAAAACCAAACCAAACCAUCCCAAUGGUUCAAGAAAAUUGGACCAAAUUAUUUGUGGUUUAGGACGAACCGAACAAAACAAGAGUUUAUGGUUCGAUUAACCGUUUUGUUGUUUUGUGGUCCUAAUCAAAUUGUGUUUUCUUUGUUUAUUUUCUUAAAUUGGAAUUGUGCUAUUGAUAUUAAGAUUUUGUAUGAAUUAUAUUUAAAUUAUGACUAACUGGAUUAAGACAUUUUAUGAAUUAAAUCACACUGGUUAUUAAUUUAGUGUGGUUUUACUAGUCUUGUAUUACAUAUAUCUAUAUAUUAAUUUUAAAAAUAUCGUAUAUAAAUUACUAAUUUAGACUUAUUAAUUUUAUGCAUACUAGUUGAAGUAAAGUUAGAUAGAGCCUUAGCUAAUGAAGAAUGGUUUCAGAGGUUUCCAUAUGCGAUGGUUGAGAAUUUAGUGGCCCCGCAUCUGAACAUUAAUAUGGAACCUAUUAAUCGUAUUUGGGUACUUAGAAAAAACUUCAAGUUUGAAAAUGCGUGGUAUGUUGCACCGGGUAUUACUGAUAUUGUCUCUGAAAGUUGGUUGUCUUCGUCGAGUAAAGCCAACGACAAUGGGUUAAAGCAAGAAAUUGAUGAUUUCAGACGCGAGUUGAAUUGUCGUCGCAAUCAAGAGGCUGCAGCUAAUCCAAACAUACUAACGAAUUUGAGAAACAAAUCACACAUCUGAUGAUUCAAGAAGAUAAAUAUUGGAGGCAACGAGCCAAGAUCCAUUGGUAUCGUGUUGGCGAUAUGAAUACUAAAUUUUUUCAUGCCUCUACCACAUCUAAAAAGAAGGUAAACCACAUUACUUCCUUAGAAAAUGAUGUGGGUGAUAGAGUUUCUAAUAAACAAGGUAUGUGUCUGGUUGCGAGAAGCUACUUUGAGGAUUUAUGUUUGGAGAAAAACAGUUCUCGCGCCCUAGUUGUGAAAAAUAUAGAUAAGGUUGUUUCAGAUGAAGAUAAUAUUUUCCUAACCAAUCAUUUUCAAGUCUAUGAGUUCAAGGAAGCCAUGUUCUCAAUGCGUCCAUAUAAAUGCCCUAGUCCGGAUGGUUUUAAUCCGGGUUUUUUUUUCAACAUUUUUGGUCGGUGUGUAGUUCUGAUAUUUUUUUCUUCAGGAAUGUUGUCAGUGGUUAAAUAAUAAUAUGUUUCCCCCGUCACUAAACUCCACGAACAUUGCUUUGAUCCCUAAAGGUAAUGAGUAGAAAUCGAUGAAGGACUAGAGACUCGUAGCCUUAUACAAUGUUCUAUACAAGUUGUUGGCGAAGGUACUUGCUAAUAGGCUCAAAACUAUUUUACAUAAGUGCAUUUAUGAGAACCAAUCAACGUUUGUUCUGUUAGCGCAACACAAAAGCUUGUUCAACAAGCAAUGAAAAACAGAAGCAAUUUUGUAGUUUCUAGGGUUUGUAGAUUUAUGAAUUAUAGAGAGAAUUGAGAGAAGAGAAGGUUAUAGAAUUGAAGAAUGUAAUUGUAUUAUUGAAGUAGUAAAAUAUGUACAAGAGUUUAGCUUAUAUACACAAGUUUGGUUAGGUUGCUUGAAGUACAAGCUAAGUAACAAACCCUAACCUUAUGAGCUAAUCUCUAACUAACUUGUAACAAAAUUCAUAACAAACUGAAUCUAAAUGUGAUUAAUCACUAAUUGUGAUUAUCACUAAACUAAACUUGAAUUAAAACAAACUAACAUGUUCAUGGGCGUCCCAUUAGCAAGGCUUAUGACAUAAUAGACUAACUAUAUCUUAAGGAAGUUAUGCUUAAGAUGAGGUUUGCUAGUCAAUAGGUCCGGUGAAUUAUGAUGUGUGUGGAGACCGUCAAUUAUUCUGUCAUUGUUAAUAAUGAUAUGGUGGGGCCUAUUAUUCCAGGUCGGUGGUUGAGACAGGGUGAUCCAUUAUCAAUGUGCUAUUUAUUCUUUGCAUUGAAGGUCUUUCCGCUCUCAUUCGAAAAGCUGAACGGCGAGGAGACCUACACGACACUACCAUUUGCACUAAUGCUCUUGUUAUUUCUCACAUUUUAUUUGCAGAUGAUUGUUUUUAUUUUUUCAGGGAAGCACAGGUAAUGAAGAAUAUCUCUAGUAUAAGAAAUUUUAUUAGAUUUUUUUACCACGAUUAAAUACAUCUAUUUUUAUUUAAAUUGAUAAAAAAAAGUUUAAAAAGGUUCAACUUAUUUAUUUAUUUUUCACCGAAGGUUUACCUUAUUUUUAAUAUACAACAAAACUGGUACAUGCCCUAUUUAGAGAAAUAGGAGGAUCAGAGAAAGCUCCGGUAGAUAUUUGAUCAAAGACAAUCUUGUUAGCUGCUUCUGUGAAGUGGGAACCAUCCCAAAUGAUUCUAGUAGAUGGGUUUUUACACGAUCCAGCAACAAUUUUUGUACCAUUUAUGUUUAUGGUUUCUCCACAGCCAACACGAAUGUUGUACUUUCCUCCAUAGCCACAACAUGCCACAUGUGGAAGCUCAAAUCCUACAUAUUAAUGAAGCUUUAAAAUCAAAUUAAUAACAUAUAUAAAUUAAUGUACAUAGUUUUUGAAAUUGCAGUGAAAUUAUUAGAAUUACACUGAACCACUGUGAUUUAAAAAAAAUAAAAAAUACAUUUUAGAGGUUUAACAAAAUUAUAGUGUCACUAUGAUAAUGUUAAACUCACCGUCAAUCAAAACAAAUAGUAAUUUAAAAAUGGAGUCAUCUUGAUUUGGCUCACCAUAUUUUUUUGGAUUUUGAAAAAGAGAGUACUUAGGAGAGUAGAUAUCAACAUAUGUUAUUGCAGCAAGAGGAAGAUCGACACGAAGUUGAGCUAAUGCUUUCUUCAACUUUAAAUUAAAAUAUUGAGAUACUUCAUUGUAUUGCUUUGCACAACCAUAACUAUCCUUUAUUGCAGAUGGAAAAUUAGCCAAAAUGGUAGGAGUGCAACCACUUGGUACUGUGCUGUGUAUCCAAAAUGACCUAGCCCCUAAAUUGUAUAUGUUCUAGAUCACCAGCAAGUUUUGUUUCAUCAGUUUAGAACAAGACAUUGAGAAAACAAAUAUUAUAAACAUAAGAUAACACAAUAAAAUCUAUAUCAUGAGAAUCUAUUAUAGGAAAAAUUCUACAAUAUAAUGACCCGCUUUAAUGAGUGGUUAAGGAUAGACCAACACUUGAAAAUGACCUCAAAUUCUAGAAAUGACUCAUAAUAUCUGCUAGAAUUUGAAGGUCAUGAUUCUUUUAAUUUUAUCAUUGAGAUAAUGACUCGUAAUACCUUGAUAUUCACUAUGAAAUUGUUUACUAUAUCGGGUACAGUAGCAUUGACUUGUUUUAUAGUCUUGUUACCAAAAUAACCACCAAUAAGAUCAUUUUGACCAAUAUCAAAUGUGUAUAAGGCUUUGGAAAAAUAGUCUUCUUUGGGGAUCAAAGUUGCAAAUACACCUCCUGGUAAGAAAAUUUUGAAAUAAAGAAAGAAAAAGAGGCAAAUUUGUAUCCUUAAUUAAACUCGGAAUCACCAAAAGAUAUCAACGAAAACAACGGGAAAAUAUUUUAAUUUACCUUGAUCCCGAAUGAGAUUUGUUUUGGAUAUGAAAUCUUUGAAUUGAAUGUACUGAAUUUGAAGAGAAAAUGGACUAAAUAUCCCAUUAGGUAUAAUACUAUUAGGGAUAUUGAUUGUUGAUCCUCCUGUUGCGAAGUUUGCACCAUGUGUGAAGUUAGACCCAAGAGAAUUAAGAUAUGGACUUAGAUAGGGAAGUCCAAAGCUCUGUGCUGAAAUUACAAAAUUAUAAUACUAAAAUUAAAAAUAUUUUAAAAAUAUAGAAAUAAUUCUUCACUGAUGUAAAUAGAGUUUGGAUCAUCUAUAUGUAAACGAUAUUACCUAUGAAAUCAAGAAUGAUUCGACCAUCAGAAAAUCUUCCAGUUGAUCUAUGAAAAUAAGUCUCUCCAUAUGGAGAAGGUGGUGCUUGAAAGGCAGCAGCCAAACCACCAGUGUCAACGUUUGAAGCACCAAAGCUAAAUAUGGCAGGAAAAUCACAAUU
rnacentral:lncRNA from 1 species